rnacentral:misc_RNA from 1 species
GCAAACUUGGUCAUUUAGAGGAAGUAAAAGUCGUAACAAGGUCUCCGUUGGUGAACCAGCGGAGGGAUCAUUACUGGAUGCAAUACUCCAACAACCCUUGCGAACAUACCUAAACGUUGCCUCGGCGGGGCUUCCCUCACGGGGAGCGCCAACCCGCCGGCGGCCCCAAACUCUGCCUCAUUGGUGUCUCUCUGAGCAAACCUAAAUAAGUUAAAACUUUCAACAACGGAUCUCUUGGUUCUGGCAUCGAUGAAGAACGCAGC